rnacentral:rRNA from 1 species
AUGGAGUCAAAUGAUGUUGGUGGUAUUUUUGUUGGAUGGGGGAUGUCAAUAGCUUCAAAACGAGCUAAAGAACGUCAAAAUCGGAGUUCGGAUGAAUUAGUUAAGGACAAAACAAAAAUCAGGCGAAGUCUGAAACUACAGGUUACGGACGUCCGGGAAAGGUCGGAUGUCCGGUCGUCGGACGUCCGAGAAGGUCGGAAAUCCGUAAAUUCACCUCGGGUUAGGGGUUCUGGUCGUCCGGGAAAGGUUAGACAUCCGGUGCUUCGUGGGGGUCUGGACGUCCAUAAAACGCCGGUCGUCCGGUGGGUCGAGGUCAACGCGAAAUUUCAGAUCCGGGACGCGAUUUUGGGCGGAAAUUGGGGAUUUUGGGGUCAAAAUUGA